AGCUCCAAUAGCGUAUAUUAAAGUUGUUGCAGUUAAAAAGCUCGUAGUUGGAUUUCGGGGCGGCCUGGCCGGUCCGUCGCGAGACGAGCACUGGUCAGCCGCCCUUCCUCUCGAAAGCCCCGACUGCUCUUGACUGCAGUGGUCGGGUAGUUCGGGACGUUUACUUUGAAAAAAUUAGAGUGUUCAAGGCAGGCUGUGGCCUGAAUACAUUAGCAUGGAAUAAUGGAAGAGGACCUCGGUCCUAUUUUGUUGGUUUCUGGGGCCGAAGUAAUGAUUGAGAGGGACAGUUGGGGGCAUUCGUAUUUAAUUGUCAGAGGUGAAAUUCUCGGAUUUAUGAAAGACGAACAACUGCGAAAGCAUUUGCCAAGGAUGUUUUCA
rnacentral:rRNA from 1 species